rnacentral:piRNA from 1 species
UAUCAAUGAACUGUGACAGGAAGCU